rnacentral:rRNA from 1 species
GAUGAACGCUAGCUACAGGCUUAACACAUGCAAGUCGAGGGGCAGCACAGUGUAGCAAUACAUGGGUGGCGACCGGCGCACGGGUGCGUAACGCGUGAGCAACUUGCCCGUUUCAGGGGGAUAACCGUUGGAAACGACGACUAAUACCCCAUAGCAUCAUAUUGAGGCAUCUUUAUAUGAUUAAAGAAUUUCGGAAACGGAUAGGCUCGCGUGACAUUAGAUAGAUGGCGGGGUAACGGCCCACCAUGUCGACGAUGUCUAGGGGUUCUGAGAGGAAGGUCCCCCACACUGGAACUGAGACACGGCCCAGACUCCUACGGGAGACAGCAGUUAGGAAUAUUCGGCAAUGGGGGAAACCCUGACCGAGCAAUGCCGCGUGUGGGAUGACAGUCCUUUGGAUUGUAAACCACUUUUAUUAGGAAAGAACUGUAAGUAUAGGAAAUGAUACUUACUUGACGGUACCUUUGAAUAAGCCCCGGCUAACUACGUG